GCUAUGGCUGCAUGCCCUGCACAGCUCCUAGCUCUCUACAUCAUCCCCGGAGAGGAAACUGGGAAGCAGCCCUCCCCCCAACACUGGGCGCACACACACACACACACACAAACACACACACACACAGCAAGCCCUCACACUCACACACAGCAAGCCCUCACACUCACUGUGUCUGUAAAUGCUCCUAGCUGGUUGUGGAAGUUGGCUACAAGUUAGACUUUAGGGCAGGACACCAGUGAUUUGGUUUUAGCAUUAUUAUUGAAUAGUUUGACCGCCACUGACAAAUUGAAACAUUCAAAGCAAUUGUGUCGUGGCUUUGAAACACUCCGACCAUGGACUCCGACACCCGUCUCCACGGUGGCAUCUACUGGUCCCUUUUGAUAUCGAAACAGACAGGGGACUGCCAAAUUUGUUAAAAUUGAUCCGGAGACAUGAAUGUCUGUACCGAAGUCCAUGGCAAGUUGAUGAGACAUUUUCAACUCUCCCUUAAAAGACCCUAUACCGUGUUCCAUAAACACUACCUGAAAAAGACGCGGGACUUAGAGGGUCAGUUUGGAAAGGUGACUCUCUACUUCUAUGACCCGGCCCACGAUGGGACUGGAGAGCGCGUGGCAGUGAAGGCUGUGAAACAAAAGAUGGUUAUGUGCCCGAGGGCUGGAUGAAGGAGAUUGAGAUCUAGAAGUCCCUUUAUCACAGCAUUGUCAAGUACAAGGGCUGUUGUACUGAACUUGGUGAGUCCUCAUCUGUUA